rnacentral:rRNA from 1 species
GAUGAACGCUGGCGGUGUGCCUAAUACAUGCAAGUCGAACGGGCUCUUCGGAGCUAGUGGCGGACGGGUGAGUAACACGUUGGUACCUGCCCCAAAGUGGGGAAUAACUGCCCGAAAGGGUGGCUAAUACCGCAUAAUACCGUAAGGUUAAAGCAGAAAUGCGCUUUGGGAGGGGCCUGCGUCUGAUUAGCUAGUUGGUAGUGUAAUGGACUACCAAGGCGACGAUCAGUAGCUGGAUCGAGAGGUUGACCAGCCACACUGGGACUGAGAUACGGCCCAGACUCCUACGGGAGGCAGCAGUAAGGAAUCUUCCACAAUGGACGAAAGUCUGAUGGAGCAACACCGCGUGCAGGAUGACGGUCUUCGGAUUGUAAACUGCUUUUAUAUGGGAAGAUUAUGACGGUACCAUAUGAAUAAGGACCGG